rnacentral:tRNA from 1 species
GCUCCGGGGUGGUGAGACGAGGUGUAGCGCAGUCUGGUCAACGCAUCCGUUUUGGGUACAGAGGGCCAUAGGUUCGAAUCCUGUCACCUUGAUGUGAGGCAUUCCGUCAGC